GAUGAACGCUGGCGGCGUGCCUAAUACAUGCAAGUCGAGCGAACAGACGAGGAGCUUGCUCCUCUGACGUUAGCGGCGGACGGGUGAGUAACACGUGGAUAACCUACCUAUAAGACUGGGAUAACUUCGGGAAACCGGAGCUAAUACCGGAUAAUAUAUUGAACCGCAUGGUUCAAUAGUGAAGGACGGUUUUGCUGUCACUUAUAGAUGGAUCCGCGCCGCAUUAGCUAGUUGGUAAGGUAACGGCUUACCAAGGCGACGAUGCGUAGCCGACCUGAGAGGGUGAUCGGCAACACUGGAACUGAGACACGGUCAAGACUCCUACGGGAGGCAGCAGUAGGGAAUCUUCCGCAAUGGGCGAAAGCCUGACGGAGCAACGCCGCGUGAGUGAUGAAGGUCUUCGGAUCGUAAAACUCUGUUAUUAGGGAAGAACAAAUGUGUAAGUAACUAUGCACGUCUUGACGGUACCUAAUCAGAAAGCCACGGCUAACUACGUG
rnacentral:rRNA from 1 species